rnacentral:rRNA from 1 species
GAUGAACGCUGGCGGCGUGCCUAACACAUGCAAGUCGAGCGAACAGAUGAGGAGCUUGCUCCUCUGACGUUAGCGGCGGACGGGUGAGUAACACGUGGAUAACCUACCUAUAAGACUGGGAUAACUUCGGGAAACCGGCGCUAAUACCGGAUAAUAUAUUGAACCGCAUGGUUCAAUAGUGAAAGACGGCUUUGCUGUCACUUAUAGAUGGAUCCGCGCUGCAUUAGCUAGUUGGUAAGGUAACGGCUUACCAAGGCAACGAUGCGUAGCCGACCUGAGAGGGUGAUCGGCCACACGGGAAGGUGGACACGGUCCAGACUCCUAAGGGAGGCAGCAGUAGGGAAUCUGACGCAAUGGGCGAAAGCCUGACGGAGCAACGCCGAGUGAGUGAUGAAGGUCUUCGGAGCGUAAAACUCUGUUAUUAGGGAAGAACAGAUGUGUAAGUAACUAUGCACGUCUUGACGGUAACUAAUCAGGAAGCCACGGCUAACUACGUG